CGAUGUAUGACACAGAGAUAACAAUCGAAGCGCUAGCAUCGGAAUUUUUUCCAGAAAGACCGGAAUUCAAAGACGCCAUUAAAAAAGAGUUGAAAAAAUGGAAAACCCUAGAUCUAUCAAGAUAUCCUGAAGCUAUGGUGAUGUAUUCAGAUGUGGUUAUGAUUGCGCCCAUGAUGAAACUUGCAGAUAUGAUUUUUCAAAAGAAGAACGUUUAUACACUCAGUUUUGAGUAUAUUUCACAGAAUAAAAGCGGACCGGAUUGGAUAGGGGUCCAGCAUGGUUGGGACGCAUUUUACGUAUUUGGCUUACCAACAAUUGGACACCCAAACUUCUCAUAUACGCCACGAGAUGCCGAUGUGUCUAAAACGACAAUGAGAAUCAUCAGCGAUUUCGUCAAAGAAGGACAUUGGGGAUCAUAUAGUGGGUUGAAUGUCUACAAUCCAGAAAGAAAAUCGUAUAACAAACUGGAUUACGCCAAUGACCAAGUCGUCUUAACAAACGAAAUUAACUAUAAACAACCAAGACUAUCCUUUUGGUUCAAGUAUUUGUAUCCCUUGAAUUUCACUUGCGGCAUCAGCAGUUAAAAGUAGAUUAUAAUACGUAUGUUAAUUCAUACAAAAACGAAAUAAAGGAGAA